CGCUGGCGGCGUGCUUAACACAUGGCAAGUCGAACGGGGUACCCGAGAAUGAAGCUUCGGCAGAUUUCUUGGACUACUUAGUGGCGGACGGGUGAGUAACACGUGAGUAACCUGCCCUUGAGAGGGGAAUAACGUACCGAAAGGUACGCUAAUACCGCAUUAACAUAUAUUUGUCGCAUGUCAGAUAUAUCAAAGAUUUAUCGCUCAAGGAUGGACUCGCGUCCGAUUAGAUAGUUGGUGAGGUAACGGCUCACCAAGUCGACCGAUCGGUAGCCGGACUGAGAGGUUGGCCGGCCACAUUGGGACUGAGACACGGCCCAGACUCCUACGGGAGGCAGCAGUGGGGAAUAUUGCGCAAUGGGGGCAACCCUGAUGCGGCGACGCCGCGUGAGCGAAGAAGUAUUUCGGUAUGUAAAGCUCUAUCAGCAAGGAAGAUAAUGACGGUACUUGACUAAGAAGCCCCGGCUAACUACGUG
rnacentral:rRNA from 1 species